GUGCUUGCCCCGGCAGCACAUAUAGCAAGACUGGGAUGAAACAGAAAAUUAGUAUGACCCCGCACAAGGAUGACAUGCGAAUUUGUGAAGCAUUCCAUAUUAAA